AAAAAAAAAAAAAAAAAGUCUACAGGCUUGGUGAGGUGGCUCAUCCCUGUAAUGCCAGCACUUUGGAAAGCCGAGGCAGGAUUAUUUGAGCCCAUGAGUUCGAGACCAGCCUGGGCAACAUGGUGAGAUUUUUGUCUCUACCAAAAAAAAAAAAAAAUCCACAAGUUAUCUGAUACUUCUCCCUUCAAAAGGGGAAGCCUAAUUCCACUCCCAAAUAUAGAACUAAGUAUGUCCUAAACAGCACUGUGGCUUCUUCUUUGAUCUCUUUCUUGGAUCACUUGCUUUGGUGAAAGUCGUCUGCCCUGCCAUAAAGACACUCAAGCAGCCCCAUGAAGAGGUCCAAGUGGUGGAGCUACAAGGCCUCCUAUCAACAAUCGGCAAUAUCUUGCCAGGUCCAUGAACCAGCCACCUUGGCAGUGAACCCCCAGCCCUAGUCAAGCCUCCAGAUGAUUGCAUCCCUGGAUGACAUCCUGAUUGCACUUUCAUAAGAAACCCUGAGACAGAACUACCCAGCAAUAAAUCUUGCUGCUGCUCACUCUUUGGGUCUGCACUACCUUUCUGAGCUGUAACACUCACUGUGAAGGUCUGCAGCUUCCCUCCUAAAGCCAGCGAGACCACAAACCCACUGGGAGGAACAAACAACUCCAGAUAUGCCAGCUUUAAGAGCUGUAACACUCACUGGGAAGGUCUGCAGCUUCACUCCUGAAGUCAGCAAGACCACGAACCCAUUGAGAGGAAUGAACAACUCCGGACGUGCUACCUUUAAGAGCUGUAACACUCACUGCGAGGGUCCGUGUCUUCACUCCUGAAGUCAGCAAGAUCAUGAACCCACCAGAAGGAAGAAACUCCGGACAUAUCUGAACAUCUGAAGGAACAAACUCUGGACACACCAUCUUUAAGAACUGUAACACUCACCGUGAGGGUCUGCGGCUUCAUUCUUGAAGUCAGUGAGACCAAGAACCCACCAGAAGGAACCAAUUCCAGACACAUUUUGUCUACCCAGAUGGGACUAUCGCCUAUCGCCAAGUGUUAAGGUGGCAGGAGUGGAAUCUUGGAUUCACCACACCCGAGUUAAAUUUUGGACAUCCCCUGAGGAACCUGCGGGACCAUCAGCUCAGGAGUCCCAAGAUCACCCAGACCAGCCUUGAUACCUGUGAACCAUUGGAGGACUUGCAUCUCCUAUUUUGGAAGGAAUCAUCCCAGACUAAAAAGGCUCCUACCACUGAUCCUGAAGAAAAACCCCUUCCUCCUUAAAAAAGAUAAGUGAAAACCUACAUAAUCUUUAACACCUCUCCUUGCCCCUUUAAUGGAAACCUUUUACUAUUUCAUCAUGUUAUUAAGCAGCAUACUAACCAUACUCUUUGCAAUAGGACUAUAUACUGUAGCUCCUGCUGGGAUGAAAAUAAAAUAGAACACAGGGAGCCACUCACUUUGCUCCCAACAUCCCUUUCCAGCCACUCACCGGAGCUACCUUGGCAAGUACUCUAGAAGUAUGAAAAAAUGAAAACAACAAACUCGCACACCUUUUUAACAUACACAACCAGUUUUGUCUACCCAGCCGAGGUAUAUUCUUCUUAUGUGGAACACCGACCUAUAUCUGCCUCCCCACUAACUGGACAGGCACCUGCACCUUAGUCUUUCUAAGCCCCAACAUUAACAUUGCCCCAGGAAAUCAGACCCUAUCAGUACCCCUCAAAGCUCAAGUCCAUCAGCGCAGAGGCAUACAACUAAUACCCCUACUUAUAGGGUUAGGAAUGGCUACGCUACAGGAACUGGAAUAGCCAGUUUAUCUACUUCAUUAUCCUACUACCACACACUCUCAAAGGAUUUCUCAGACAGUUUGCAAGAGAUAAUGAAAACUAUCCUUACUCUACAAUCCCAAAUAGACUCUUUGGCAGCAGUGAGUCUCCAGAACUGCUGAGGCCUAGACCUCCUCAUUGCUAAGAAAGGAGGACUCUGCACCUUCUUAGGGGAAGAGUGUUGUUUUUACACUAACCAGUCAGGUAUAGUACGAGAUGCCACCCGGUGUUUACAGGAAAAGGCUUCUGAAAUCAGACAACGCCUUUCAAACUCUUAUACCAACCUCUGGAGUUGGGCAACAUGGCUUCUCCCCUUUCUAGGUCCCAUGGCAGCCAUCUUGCUAUUACUCGCCUUCAGGCCCUGUAUUUUUAACCUUGUCAAAUUUGUUUCCUCUAGGAUCGAAGCCAUCAAGCUACAGAUGGUCUUACAAAUGGAACCCCAAAUGAGCUCAAAUAACAACUUCUACUGAGGACCCCUGGACCUACCCACUGGCCCUUUCACUGGCCUAAAGAGUUCCCCUCCCGAGGACACUACAACUGCAAGGCCCCUUCUUCGCCCCCAUCCAGCAGGAAGUAGCCACAGCGAUCAUUGCCCAAUUCCCAACAGCAGUUGGGGUGUCCUGUUUAGAGGGGGCAUUGAGAGGUGAAGCCAGCUGGGCUUCUGGGUCGGGUGGGGACUUAGAGAACUUUUCUGUCUAGCUAAAGGAUUGUAAACACACCAAUGAGCACUCUGUGUCUAGUUAAAGGUUUGUUUUUUGUUUUUUUUUGAGACAGAGUCUUGCUCGGUUGCCCAGGCUGGAGUGCAGUGGCACUAUCUCAGCUCACUGGAAGCUCCGCCUCCUGGGUUCAUGCCAUUCUCCUGCUUCAGCCUCCUGAGUAGCUGGGGCUACAGGCACCCGCCACCACGCCCACCUAAUUUUUUGUAUUUUUAGUAGAGACGGGGUUUCACCAUUUUAGCCACGAUGGUCUCGAUCUCCUGACCUCAUGAUCUGCCCACCUCAGCCUCCCAAAGUGCUGGGAUUACAGGCGUGAGCCACCACACCCGGCCAAGGUUUGUAAAUGCACCAAUCAGCAUUCUGUAAAAACGCACCAAUAAGCGCUCCGUCUAGCCAAAUGUUUGUAAACUUACCAAUCAGCAGUCUGUAAAAACGGACCAAUCAGCACUCUGUAAAAUGGACCAAUCAGCAGGAUGUGGGUGGGGCCAAAUAAGGGAAUAAAAGCUGGCCACCCGAGCCAGCAGUGGCAACCUGCUUGGGUCCCCUUCCACACCGUGGAAGCUUUUUUCUUUCACUCUUAGCAAUAAAUCUUGCUGCUGCUCACUCUUUGGACCCGCACUACCUUUCUGAGCUGUAACACUCCCUGCAAAGGUCUGUGGUUUCACUCCUGAAGCCAGCGAGACCACAAACCCACUGGGAGGAACAACCAACUCCGGACGUGCCACCUUUAACAGCUGUAACACUCACUGGGAAGGUCUGUGGCUUCACUCCUGAAGUCAGCGAGACCACGAACCCAUCUGGAGGAAUGAAAAACUCCAGAUGAACCACCUUUAAGAGCUGUAACAUUCACUGCAAUGGAUCACAGCUUCACUCCUGAAGUCAGCAAGACCACAAACCCACCAGAAGGAAGAAACUCCAGACACAUCUGAACAUCUGAAGGAACAAACUCCAGACACACCAUCUUUAAGAACUGUAACACUCACUGCAAGGGUCUGCAGCUUCAUUCUUGAAGUCAGUGAGACCAAGAACCCACCAGAAGGAACCAAUUCCGGACACAAUAGCUUCUUCCUCCCUUGUGUGCUCCCGCAAGACUGGGCCUUGUCUGCCUCCAGACACUCCGUACUCUCUCUCACUGCUUAGAUGGCUCUUUCCAUCCCUCUUCCAUCCUCCAAACACGCCAUCCCUUCCCAUGAUGCUGCAUUUUCCAGUGAGCAGACUAAGCUCAGAGCAUCAGCAAAACCCUCCGUUUUUCUUGAAACUUUGAACUUCAUGGAAGUUGCUCACCUUCUGCCUAACCACAGGGAAAUGGCCCCAGGAAGUCUUCCCAGUCCCCAUGUGGGUGAGGGCCUUGCCUCCUGUUCCAGGUCCACCCACAUCUUUCCUAUUUGGCCAUGUCCAUGUGUUAUUAUUACUGUUGGUUUGGUUGUUGGCUUCUUGGACAGACUAUAAACCACAGGAGGACAGGCUUCAACCUUAUUUAUUCUCUGCUAUGGCCCCAAGGCCUGGCACACAGCAAAUGCUCUGUAUAGAGUCAUGAAUGAGUGAACAAACAAAUAAGUGAACAAACAAAUAAAUGAACAAACUCAGGAUACCGGAACAAUCCCUUAAACUGCCUGCAGGGCCAGGUUUGGCAGAAGAGCCUUCCUCUUUAUGAACACAGAUGGCAGAAGUAGGACAAGUCAAAGUGAAUGUCAAAUUUUUGUUUUAAAUCAGGAAGAACCUUCUAAUAACAUAGAUUGCAUUGUGAAGUAGUGAGCUGUGGUCACCAAAGGGGUUUACAAGAAGGCUAGUGGGCUCUCUAUGAGGAACAGUCUGCAGAAAGAAUUCCAGACUGGACAGAGGUUGUGAAUUCCCAAGGUCCCACGCCAGCUGGGCUGUUGAGGAAGCCAUGAAUGUAUCUUUAUGGCGAGGGAGGAUUGAGGAGAUAGAUUUUUUUUCCACUUGAGGAAUUUGGUUUUUUCGUUUGUUUUUGCUUUUUUCAGUUUUUUUGAGACAGAGUCUCACUCUGUCGCCCAGACUGGAGUGCAGUGGCCCGAUCUCAGCUCACUGCAACCUCCACCUACCAGGUUCAAGCAAUUAUUGUGCCUCAGGCUCCCGAGUAGCUGGGACUACAGGCACGUGCCACCGUGCCAGGCUAAUUUUUCUAUUUUUAAUAGAGACGGGGUUUCAGCAUGUUGGCCAGGCUGGUCUCAAACUCCUGGACUCAAGUGAUCUGCCUGCCUUGGCCUCCCAGAGUGCUGGGAUUACAGGUGUGAGCCACCGUGCCCAACUGGAAUUUAGGCUGGCUGAGCAGAGCUGGCCAGGUUCACUCAUCCAUACUUCCCCAUCCCAGCCCAUCACUUCUCAGGCCUGCAAGAGGCCAUGUGACUGGCACUGGUGACACCUGGUGGCCAGUUGGACAAGGAGAGAGACAGCUGUCUAUCUGGUUCAUGGCUGUAUCCCAGGCCUGGCAAAGAGAAGGCUCUCCCCUUUGAGGGAUGAAUGAAUGAAUACAGACUAGAAAGAGGAAAAGGAGGAAUAGAUACUCUCUCUUUAGCCUGGAGACCCACCAGGGCAAUGAACCAAGACUGCAUGAGAAGGCCAGAAAUUCAUCUGCUCAGGGUUGUGCAGACAGAAGGGCCUCUGCUCUCUCUUACCUCCCUUGUCUGUGCCUGUCCUGUGUUCUAGGGCACCUGUGAGGCAGGGGAGGGGCUAUUUUGGGAAAAGGCUGAUGUUAAUUAAAGCUGCUUCUGCAUCUGAGCUUAAUCAUGCUCUGAAGCUAUGAAUAGAGAGACCCGUGGGCUGGGUUGGAAGUGCCUGAGCAACACUCCUUUCAGAGAGAGGACACUGAGGCCAAGAGAGGGCAGGAGCCUGCCUAAGGUUCCAGAGCCAGGACUCCCAGCUCCAAUUCAUUAAGCCGUAGCACUGGUCACCUAAGAUAGAAACACAGAAGAAAACAGUUGGUGUGGAGCCUGGAGGAGCAAGCACAAGCACCCUAGCCUGGCAGGCAGGGAGCGUUAACAUCACCACUGACUCCGCCCGGCAUGCACCUUUCCUUCCAGCCAAAAAGCCGAGGAUCUGUGGGCUGCACCAAGUGUGCAUCCCUCCCAACUCACCCAGGCUCCCUCCUCUCAAUCACUCUGCUUUACACCCAUCCCUUCAAGUGUAUGGGCUGGCUUAACCUCUCUGGGCCUCAGUUUCCUAAUCUGCAGAGGGAUUGUUUGAAGUGUGAAAGAGACUAUGUGUCAAGUGUAUAGAACAGUAUUUGACACAUGGUCAGCAUCCAGUAAGAACUACAGCUGCAGUCAGGCGCUGUGGUUCAAACCUGUAAUCUCAGCACUUUGGGAGGAUGAGGCAGAUGAAUCACCUGAGGUCAGGAGUUCAAAACCAGCCUGGCCAAAGUGGUGAAACCCCAUCUCUACCAAAAUACGGAAAGAUCAGCUGGGCAUGAUGGCACAUGCCUGUAAUCCCAGCUACUCAGGAAGCUGAGGCAGGAGAAUAGCUUGAACCCAGGAGGCAGAGGUUGCAGUGAGCUGAGAUCACGCCACUGUACUCCAGCCUGGGCAACAGUGUGAGACUCCAUCUCAAAAAAAAAAAAAAAAAUGCCAGGCGCGGUGGCUCACACCUGUAAUCCCAGCACUUUGGGAGGCCGAGGCAGGCGGAUCACUUGAGGUCGGGAGUUCAACACCAGCCUGGCCAACAUGGUGAAACCCUGUCUCUACUAAAAAUACAAAAAAUUGCUCAGGUGUGGUGGCACACGCCUGUAAUCCCAGCUACUCGAAAGGCUGAGUCAGGAGAAUUCCUUGAACCCAGGAGGCAGAGGUUGCAGUGAGCCGAGAUUGCGCCACUGCAGUCCGCAGUCUGGCCUGGGCGACAGAGCGAGACUCCGUCUCAAAAAAAAAAAAAAAAAAAAAAAGACUGUCUCAAAAAAAAGAAAAAGAAAGAAAGAAAGAACCGGCCAGGCGCGGUGGCUCACGCCUGUAAUCCCAUCCCAGCACUAUAGGAGGCUGAGGCGGGUGGAUCACCUGAGGUCGGGAGUUCGAGACAAGUCUGACCAACAUGGAGAAACCCCGUCUCUACUAAAAAUACAAAAUUAGCCGGGCAUGGUGGCACAUGCCUGUAAUCCCAGCUACUCGGGAGGCUGAGGCAGGAGAAUCGCUUGAACCUGGGCAACAGGAGCGAAACUCUGUCUCAAAAAAAUUAAAAAAAAAGAACCACAGCUGCGAUGAUCAUGUUUAUUCUAAUUAAGGCUCAAUUUAAAUCCUUCCCACAACUCCCAAUUAAAUGGGGAGAAACGUACUUGAGGUCAGGGUCAGAGUUCCUUGACUCUGUAUCCAGAGAAGGACCAGAACACAGGGUAUAGCGUGGUCUGUGUUGGCUCUAGGCAGCAUCAGCUGGCUGGUUUCCUACAGGCUGGGCAGGGACUGGCCCUGCUGUCUGAACCUGGCUUUCUUGAGGCUGUAAUGGCUUAUUUAUCUAGACUGGGCUUGGGAUUUCUCUGAUGGGUCAAAAAUCAGAGAGACAAGGUACUGCUGGAGUACAAAGAUGCCAUCUGAAGCUGGGCGCAGUGGCUCAUACCUGUAAUCCCAGCACUUUGGGAGGCUGAGGCAGGUGGAUCACCUGAGGUCAGGAGUUCGAGACCAGCCUGGCCAACAUGACGAAACCUUGCCUCUACUAAAAAUAAAAAAAAUUACCCGGGCAUGGUGGCGCACACCUGUAAUCCCAGUUGCUUGGGUGGCUGAGGCAGGAGAAUCACUUGAACCUGGGAGGCAGAGGUUGCAGUGAGCUGAGAUCGCACCAUUGCACUCCAGCCUGGGCAACAAGAGUGAAACUCCAUCUCAAAAAAACAAACAAACAAAAAAAAAGAUGCCACUGCUAGCUGCCCUGGAUAGUACAGGUAGGACUCAACGCCCCAGUAGAGCGGUAGAGAUGGGUCAAGAGGUCCACAGAGACCACAGAGAAGAAAGUUGAUAUAUGCACACAGGUUCUCCUUGGCAUCCUUGGGAGGAGAUACAUCCUUAAACUAGACCCCUGUGGGUGACAGCUGGAGGGGGACUGGAAGGGCCCGAUACUCCCCAAUCACUUCUUCUCCUCCACCCCAGGGAUGGCUUAUUCUAGUUCCUCUUCUCUCUCACCAGAUGCCAGGUGCUAGAAUUGUCUCAAGCUUGGAAUAUGUCCAGAUAUUCAUUAAUUCAAUACUUAACACAUAUUUAUUGAUCCCCUUCUCUGUGCCAGGCACAUUGCUCUGUGAACAAGACAGACACAACCCUUGCCAUAAGGAGUUUACAUUCUGACUGGGGGACAAAGAAGCAGACAGGCAAAACUCCACUUAAGCACUGUUUUAGGAGUAAGCCUGGGGCUUCAGGAGAGCAGGAGAGGGAUGACCUGUAAUCUCAAUGUGAAGGAAGCAGAGGAGGUGUAGUGUCUGAGUAGGGGGAAACUACACCUCCUGUGCUGUGUACAGGCUAGGAGGGAAGAUAACCCUGUUUUUGGCUUUUUGGGGUUUUUUGUUUUUUUUUGUUUUGUUUUGUUUUUGAGACAGAGUCUCACUCACUCGUCGCCCAGGCUGGAGUGCAGUGGCGCAAUCUCGGCUCACUGCAACCUCCACCUCCCGGAUUCAAGUGAUUCUCCUGCCUCAGCCUCCAAAGUAGCUGGGAUUACAGGCGUCUGCCACCAUGCCGAACUAAUUUUUUGUAUUUUUAGUAGAGACGGGGUUUCACCAUGUUGGCCAGGCUGGUCUCGAACGCCUGACCUCAAGAGAUCCGCCCACCUCCGCCUCCCAAAGUGCUGGGAUUACAGUAACCCUGUAAUUUUUCCGGAGCUGCAAGAAGCGGGUCUCAACUAAGGAAACCUGGUGAAAAUGCGUGCCACUCCCAGGGAUUCUGAUUUGAUGGGUCUGGCACAGGGACCCAGAAUCUGUGUAUUAAACAAGCUCCACCAGUGAUGUUGAUGCAGAUGACUGUGGAUCCACCCAGAGGGAGGCUUUGUGAAAGAUGGGCUGGAGGGUGCAGGGUCCAGGCCUCAAAGGCUGGUGGGUCAGACCGAGAAGUUUGAUCUUUAUAUGAAAGGAAGGCUGCUGAAGAUCAUCAAUCCUAGGAACAACAUUAUCUUUACAAAUACCCUUCCUCAGAAUCGCUUGAACCCGGGAGGCAGAUGUUGCAGUGAGCCGAGACAGUGCUACUGCACUCCAGCCUGGGCGACAG
rnacentral:lncRNA from 10 species